CUCUAGCCAUGUCCUUUUUCUUCACUCUCACUUUCUCUUCUCUGAGUGUCCUCGUUCUUUUUUCCUCAACCUUUGAAACUGAUAGAGGUCUAGGGGUGCAUCGUGGAGCAGGGCCCUCCUCUUUUUGACCACAGGACAAUGUACAAAGAUUGUG